AUUAUAUUCUAUUUAACUACUGAAAUCUGUUACACUUUGUCUUUAUACCAAACUUUCAAAAAAGCAUGGUGGAACACAAACUAUAAAUUUGACUAUCCAACAUAAAGAUAUAAAGUCUUAUUAGAAAAAUUAGUAAAAAACCAAAACAGACAAUAAUGCAAAAUUCAUUUUUACACUCACGUUAAAUUUUUUUAAAAAACCGACGAUAGUUGUUAGUUGUCAUGGAAAUGAAAUAUUGUUUGGCAGACCCAGUUCUACCGGGCAUGCAGAGCAUGCCCGGUAGAACUGGGACUUCUAUGUUGGGCUGCCUUCGUGCAUGCACGCUCUGCAUGCACGAAGGCAGCCUAACAUAGAAGGCAGCCGCACAGCUCUGGAUUUUUGUCAUCGAAUGUCACUUCAAAGAAAAACUGGCAAGGCAAAUCUGAAACACGUGAACCUUAUGCACGAAUGCAGUACAUUAAUUAAGAAUUUUUUAAUUUUUAGUGUUUGUUUCUACAAUCUUCGAUAUUGUAAAAAACGCAAGUUUAAAUAUAAUUUUGAUUUUGGAAGUCGUUUUACCUGUAAC
rnacentral:lncRNA from 1 species